GAUGAACGCUGGCGGCGUGCUUAACACAUGCAAGUCGAACGGGAAACCUUUUAUUGAAGCUUCGGCAGAUUUAACUGGUUUCUAGUGGCGGACGGGUGAGUAACGCGUGGGUAACCUGCCUUGUACAGGGGGAUAACAGUCAGAAAUGACUGCUAAUACCGCAUAAGCGCACAGGACCGCAUGGUCCGGUGUGAAAAACUCCGGUGGUAUAAGAUGGACCCGCGUUGGAUUAGCUUGUUGGUGGGGUAACGGCCCACCAAGGCGACGAUCCAUAGCCGGCCUGAGAGGGUGAACGGCCACAUUGGGACUGAGACACGGCCCAGACUCCUACGGGAGGCAGCAGUGGGGAAUAUUGCACAAUGGGGGAAACCCUGAUGCAGCGACGCCGCGUGAAGGAAGAAGUACCUCGGUAUGUAAACUUCUAUCAGCAGGGAAGAAAAUGACGGUACCUGACUAAGAAGCCCCGGCUAACUA
rnacentral:rRNA from 1 species